rnacentral:rRNA from 1 species
ACAAAGGAGCCUUGCCUAAAUACCACAAAACCCUGUCUGAUCUUGGAAGCUAAGCAGGAUCAACCCUGGGAAGUACUUGGGUGGAAGACUGCCAAGGAAUACCAGGUGUUGUAGGCU